rnacentral:rRNA from 1 species
CCUACGGGAGACAGCAGUGAGGAAUAUUGGUCAAUGGACGAGAGUCUGAACCAGCCAAGUAGCGUGAAGGAUGACUGCCCUAUGGGUUGUAAACUUCUUUUAUAUGGGAAUAAAACGUUCCACGUGUGGGAUUUUGUAUGUACCAUAUGAAUAAGGAUCGGCUAACUCCGUGCCAGCAGCCGCGGUAAUACGGAGGAUCCGAGCGUUAUCCGGAUUUAUUGGGUUUAAAGGGAGCGUAGGUGGAUUGUUAAGUCAGUUGUGAAAGUUUGCGGCUCAACCGUAAAAUUGCAGUUGAAACUGGCAGUCUUGAGUACAGUAGAGGUGGGCGGAAUUCGUGGUGUAGCGGUGAAAUGCUUAGAUAUCACGAAGAAUUCCGAUUGCGAAGGCAGUUCACUGGACUGCAACUGACACUGAGGCUCGAAAGUGUGGGUAUCAAACAGGAUUAGAUACCCCUGUAGUC